GAUGAACGCUGGCGGCGUGCCUCAAACAUGCAAGUCGAGCGGGGCUAUGUAAUACCGCAAGGUAGAACGUAGCCUAGCGGCGAACGGGUGAGUAACACGUGGGUAACCUGCCUGGAAGACAGGGAUAACGAUUCGAAAGGGUCGCUAAUACCUGAUAAUAUCCUUUCAUCGCAUGGUGAUAGGAAGAAAGGGGAAACCCGCUUUCAGAUGGGCCCGCGUCCCAUCAGCUAGUUGGUAAGGUAAAGGCUUACCAAGGCGACGACGGGUAGCCGGUCUGAGAGGAUGUACGGCCACACUGGGACUGAGAUACGGCCCAGACUCCUACGGGAGGCAGCAGUUGGGAAUCUUAGGCAAUGGACGAAAGUCUGACCUAGCGACGCCGCGUGAGGGAAGAAGGCCUUCGGUUGUAAACCUCUGUCAUGGGGAAGAAGUAAGUGACGGUACCUCCGGAGGAAGCCACGGCUAACUACGUG
rnacentral:rRNA from 1 species